AUUUUCCUGCUAUGUUAGUUGCCUUAUCAGUUUUUACCCCACAGAGUGACAAAGGGAGCUCGGGUUCGUUAAUCAAUGUCGGGCCGCCCAUUGAGCGGAAGGCAGAAAUUAGUGACAGGGCACCCACCUGCGAGACGCGGGUGUGUAAAAACGCUAGGGUGACGGCACGGUGGGUACAAA
rnacentral:other from 1 species